rnacentral:piRNA from 1 species
UACAAACUGACAAAAUGUCUGCAUUGAGAAGC